rnacentral:rRNA from 1 species
UACGGAGGGUGCGAGCGUUGUCCGGAAUCACUGGGCGUAAAGGGCGCGUAGGCGGCUUCUCAAGCGUGUGGUGAAAGUCCGGGGCUCAACCCCGGAUCUGCCGUGCCGACUGUUGGGCUGGAGUACUGUAGGGGCAGGCGGAAUUCCGGGUGUAGCGGUGGAAUGCGUAGAGAUCCGGAGGAACACCUGUGGCGAAAGCGGCUCACUGGACCAUAACUGACGCUGAUGCAGCGAAAGCCUAGGGGAGCAAACAGG